CAUUUAAAGAAAACAACGUAAAAAAAGCUAAUUAAAACAAAAUCAAAAAGAGGAAAGACAAAAACAAUAGAAAGGGAAAGUGAAGUUGCUUAGCAGCUUUGGAGAUGUAUACUCUGGCCAAGCGCCGGCCAAACUCCGGUGAACUAUUCACGGAUCUCUCUUUGUCUACCACUACAAGCCAACCUGAAGACAACAACUAUAGAAGCAACAGGGAGCAACUACAGAUCAGGAGGAUGCAUUGAGUUUAUUCCAGAUGAAGAUUUUUUUUUCUUUUUCGGAUUAGCAAGGAAUCAGUGAUAUUCUCUCACAAAAAAAAUGAAGGGUAUUUGGUUGUGGGUCGAGUGAAUCUUUUAUUUUAGGUAAAUAAAUAAAUAAAAUUGAGUAAAUGGCUGAGAUGAAGCCACGUGUCCGUCCGUUAGUUUUAAGGGUAUACACAACCCAAAAGAGUAACGGUGAGGGUAUAUACAACCUUAAAGUAUAACGAAGGAUAUUAGCAUACCAUUUGUGAUAGUUUGGGGGUAAUAUCAGCAAGUAUACGUUCCGGCUAUUGUUUGUAUAAUUUCAGCAUUAUUGAGGUAUUUGUAUAAUUUGUUUUGUAUAUUUUUUUUGUGAUCACAUUAUGUAGUAUAGAUUCUAUGGAUUUAGCGUAUCAAUAUUUAUUGUGAUU